GUGCCUGUGGUGCGGGCUAGCGCGGUCACGGUGGAGUUCAGUCAGUUGGUUGAGCCCUCAAUAUGGCUUCUGGCAACGACAGGGGAGCGGCAGUUCCCGAGUAUGUUUAAUACUGAUCAGCCAAGAGGAAAACGACGAUUCUCGACCCCUGCCCCUUGCAUUGUGAAAAGGACAGACUUUCAUAUGUAUGUCCUUUCGGAACCCAGUCAGUUCACACCAAAGGCCUCAGAAGAGCUAGAACUUGCCCAUGCUGGCCUUGGGAAGAGGAUGCUAAGUAUACCAGACCACUUGAAACACGAUGAGAUUGUAGCUCUACUUGAGGAGGAAUUUCCUAAACUGAAGACCUUACAAGGAGGUUGGAUGUUUUUCAAGUCUACAGGUGGUAGCGGACG